rnacentral:rRNA from 1 species
CCCUUAGAUGUCCUGGGCCGCACGCGCGCUACACUGACAUGUUCAACAAGUUUCUCCUAGUUCGACAGGACUGGGAAAUCUUUGAACGCAUGUCGUGAUAGGGAUAGAUCAUUGCAAUUAUUGAUCUUGAACGAGGAAUUCCUAGUAAACGCGAGUCAUCAGCUCGCAUUGAUUACGUCCCCGCCCUUUGUACACACCGCCCGUCGCACCUACCGAUUGAAUGUUUCGGUGAAGAUUCCGGAUAGGACUGAUUUGAUUUAUUUCAUUUCUGACCUAAAAGCUAUCUAAACCUCAACAUUUAGAGGAAGGUGAAGUCGUAACA